rnacentral:tRNA from 3 species
UGGCCAAUGGUGUAACGGUAACACAACAGAUUUUGGUUCUGUUAUUCUGGGUUCGAAUCCCGGUUGGCCAA